AACGCACAUUGCGCCCCCUGGUAUUCCGGGGGGCAUGCCUGUUCGAGCGUCAUUACAACCCUCAAGCAAUGCUUGGUGUUGGGCUCCGCCGCCGACCCGGCGGGCCCUAAAACCAGUGGCGGUGCCGUCGAGGCCCUGAGCGCAGUAAACAUCCUCGCUAUAGGGACCCGGCGGUCGCUGGCCACCAACCCCCACCUCCUCAGUUUGACCUCGGAUCAGGUAGGGAUACCCGCUGAACUUAA
rnacentral:misc_RNA from 1 species